UACGAAGGGGGCUAGCGUUGCUCGGAAUCACUGGGCGUAAAGCGCACGUAGGCGGCUUUUUAAGUCAGGGGUGAAAUCCUGGAGCUCAACUCCAGAACUGCCUUUGAUACUGGGAGCUCGAGUCCGGAAGAGGUGAGUGGAACUCCGAGUGUAGAGGUGAAAUUCGUAGAUAUUCGGAAGAACACCAGUGGCGAAGGCGGCUCACUGG
rnacentral:rRNA from 1 species